rnacentral:rRNA from 1 species
GAUCCUGGCUCAGGACGAACGCUGGCGGCGUGCCUAAUACAUGCAAGUCGAACGCAUUUUCUUUCACCGUAGCUUGCUACGCCGAAAGAAAAUGAGUGGCGAACGGGUGAGUAACACGUGGGUAACCUGCCCAUCAGCGGGGGAUAACACUUGGAAACAGGUGCUAAUACCGCAUAAUUCCAUUUACCGCAUGGUAGAUAGAUGAAAGGCGCUUUUGCGUCACUGAUGGAUGGACCCGCGGUG